rnacentral:rRNA from 1 species
UACGGAAGGCAGCAGUGGGGAAUAUUGCACAAUGGGCGAAAGCCUGAUGCAGCUAUGCCGCGUGUAUGAAGAAGGCCUUAGGGUUGUAAAGUACUUUCAUCGGGGAGGAAAAAACAAAACUAAUAAUUUUAUUUCUUGACGUUACCCGAAAAAGAAGCACCGGCUAACUCCGUGCCAGCAGCCGCGGUAAUACGGAGGGUGCUAGCGCUAAUCAGAAUUACUGGGCGUAAAGAGCACGUAGGUGGUUUUUUAAGUCAGAUGUGAAAUCCCUGGGCUUAACCUGGAACUGCAUUUUGAAACUGAAAUACUAGAGUAUCGUAGAGGGAGGUAGAAUUCUAGGUGUAGCGGUGAAAUGCGUAGAUAUCUGGAGGAAUACCUGUGGCGAAAGCGGCCUCCUAAACGAAUACUGACACUGAGGUGCGAAAGCGUGGGGAGCAAACAGGGAUUAGAUACC